AAACUGCGUUCUGCGUUGCUGCGUUUCUUCCCCAACCUACUCACCUGCGCUUCUUCACCAGACCUUCUCACCAACGUUUCUUCCUCCAACACCGCCCACCCCAAAAGCACCACCGUAUCGUGGCUGUCAUAUUCCCUCCCCCCCACCACUGGCGUUUCUCCUCCCUGUGUGACUGAAGCCGACUCCCGUAUUGAUGGAAUCCCCGGUCUUUCUCCGACUCGUAGACUUCUGGAAGACGCCCUGCAACCACCUCGUCUCCUCUCCUGCGCGCACUUCCGCCGUCUCUAGCUCUCCUCCCACCGGCCACCGCUAGCGGUACGAUUCAACUUGGAGCUAGCGAGGAGUGUAGCGAUCGAAAUUAGUAGCCCCCGUUGAUAUUGGAAUUCAUGAACAAACCAAGGGAGCGUCCUUCACGACUGAUGAAAUAAAAUGUGUCCGUGACAAGUUGGCACGAUUUAUUACAAAAGAAUGUCUUUGAUUGUUAGCGUUUUUAGCAUUAUAAUGAAUCUAAUACUGUAGUUUGCUACCUUUUUCCAUUAACAAUUUAGAUACAAUAUGUUUUAACCCGUUGUUUGAUAUUCAUUUUGA